rnacentral:lncRNA from 1 species
CUGAAGCUUGGCCUCAAGCUGGCAGGAGAAGGAGCUGUCCGCUGCCAGAGCCCAGGGCGGGACCGCUGGCUAAUACAGUAAACACUAACAAGCCUGAGAAACUGGCUCUUAGCUGAAUAGAAUCUUGGCAUAUGCAGGAGAAGAAUCUCCCUGAAGGACAAAUGGAAUUUCACAGUGAAAGAACAACGUUCAGUGGCAUCUUGAACUCAGAGAGUGGGACUUUUCCACACAACCCCAAGGAUCCUACCAAGCCAGAACUUUAAUUCUCUCCAGAUCUCUGGUGCUGGCCCAGUACCUUUUAGACAGUACAUAUAACCAGUUUCUACGAAGCACAUUGGGGCUCAGUCCUGCAGCCUUUGCUUAUAUGAUGUGAGUAAUUCUUACCCAUACAAUAGCACCACUGACUUCAGUAGGUCUACUCACGUGAGUAGGGCUGGGCCUACAACCUUUACACAAAAC